rnacentral:misc_RNA from 1 species
AACGCACCUUGCGCUCCUUGGCAUUCCGAGGAGCAUGCCUGUUUGAGUGUCAUUAAAUUAUCAACCAUACCUGCUUUCACAAGUUUUGGUAAUGGCUUGGAUGUGGGGGAUCUAUUGCUGGCUUCGUCGAGAAGUUUGCUCCCCUCAAAUGUAUUAGCCGGUGCCCCGUGUGGAAUCGUCUAUUGGUGUGAUAAUUAUCUACGCCCUAGAUGUCCGCUUUAAUGGGUUGUGCUGCUUCCAAUCGUCUAUUAAGUUGGACAACUAAUGACAAUUUGACCUCAAAUCAGGUAGGACUACCCGCUGAACUUAA